AACGAACGCUGGCGGCGUGCUUAACACAUGCAAGUCGAACGCGAAAGAUUUCUUCGGAGAUCGAGUAGAGUGGCGCACGGGUGAGUAACGCGUAAGUUAUCUGCCUCGGCAUCUGGAAUAAUGCACCGAAAGGUGAGCUAAUACCGGAUACGUUGAGUAAUCAAGAAAGGUGGCCUCUGCAUAUGCUACCGUGCUGAGAUGAGCUUGCGUACCAUUAGCUAGUUGGUAGGGUAAUGGCCUACCAAGGCGACGAUGGUUAGCGGGUCUGAGAGGAUGAUCCGCCACACUGGAACUGGAACACGGACCAGACUCCUACGGGAGGCAGCAGUGAGGAAUAUUGCGCAAUGGGGGAAACCCUGACGCAGCGACGCCGCGUGGAUGAUGAAGGCCUUCGGGUCGUAAAAUCCUGUCAGGUGGAAAGAAAUGCAUGGUGGUUAAUACCCAUCAUGUUUGACGGUACCACCGAAGGAAGCACCGGCUAACUCCGUGCCAGCCGCCGCGGUAAUAC
rnacentral:rRNA from 1 species